AGACGGAGGGCGCAAGCGUUGUUCGGAAUCACUGGGCAUAAAGAGUACGUAGGCGGUCUGCUAAGUCAGAUGUGAAAGCCCUGGGCUUAACCCGGGAACUGCAUUUGAUACUGGCAGACUUGAGGACAGCAGGGGUGAGUGGAACUUCAGGUGGAACGGUGAAAUGUGUAGAUAUCUGAAGGAACACCGGUGGCGAAAGCGGCUCACUGGGCUGUCUCUGACGCUGAGGUACGAAAGCUAGGGUAGCGAACGGGAUUAGAAACCCCAGUAGUCC
rnacentral:rRNA from 1 species